CUAGUGGUGAAAACCGCUCCUCUGGUGCUUCCCAGAUGAGGCCUGGCUGGAGAAGCGGGCAGAGCUCCGGCCCUCGACUUCCACAGCCCGUGAUUCCUGGGGUGCUGGUUAGCCCGCAGACUCCCGCUCAGCCGGCUUCCACCCAGCUCCCAGGGGAUGCGCUGGCUCUCCGACCUCUCUUUGAGUGGCCAGAUCCUAGAGCUGCCCAAAGGUAUCAUUUGACGGGGGAGUAGGAGGCUCCAAUUUGGCCUUAGUCCCCAACCAGCUUCUUCUGGAGGGCCCUGCAUUUCAAAGGUCUCAGAUGCCUCUGCUCCUGCAUUCAGCGUCUCGGCUUUGCUGGGACCAAGUGGAUACCCCGGGGGCCCUGGAGGACACCAGGAUCGGAGACAAAAAGAACUCAGACGAGGGCGUGUGAUGACAGGCACAAUACUAGGGCGAAGAGAGAGAGGCCGUGCCUGCCUGCGGGAGCACAGGAGUCUUCAGUUGGAGGUGGCCAUGGAGAUGGGCGGCUGGCGUCCUAGCGGGUGGCACGCGUGGAGAGGAGGCUGUGCUGGAGAGAGAGGCCAAGACAAACAGGCGCUGACUGUUGGCAGAGACACUGGCGACUUGGGGCUGGGAAGAUGGAAAGCAUGAAAAUGAUACUUGCCAGCUUCCUUGGUCUCUGGAGAGAACUGUAGUCAUCCUCUAUGUGUGUGUUAGUUAGAAAGAAGCCUGGCCUACAGGCCACAGCUAUGAAGAAGAGACUAACUAGCAAGCUCUACAAGACCCUGUCUACUCCUUCAGGCCUUGUGUCUUUCUGGAAUUGCAACCUCUAUGAUCCAGCCAUUUGGAACUGCCAUCAUUCCCCAACAAACCAGAUUGGCUUAUAUCUCCACGACUGACUUCAUGCUGCUCCUGAUGCCUGUCUGCCUAGAGACACCUGCUCAUCUUCAGAGACCAAGCCUAAUGUGAUGCUGUGAAGCCUUAUCUGACCACUUACUCUCCUUUGUUAACAAAAUGCACUCAUUUCUCUUGGGCAUAUAACUAGGAGUGGAAUUGCUGGGGCACAGGCCAUUCUGAACCAGAGGGUGGAGGACAGAAUGAAAAGAAGCUUGGAUCCCUGAGGACUGUGGGCUGCCAUACAUAGGAGAGAGAAAUCGAUGGAUUAAUUUUUUUGUUGACAAACCAUUCAUGGGCAAAACGCCACUGAGGAAAUUCUAGAACAUGGGGUGAGGCUAAAGCAUCCCCUCCACCACAGAGACCAAGACAGACUGCGCUGGAAGGGUACGAGGAGCAGCUACACACUGCCAGCCUUGCCCCUCCUCCAGGCCAGCACAGCACCGCAUGGAGAGGUCUCCCCUGGGUCCCUGGCUCCUCCAGUGCGAAAAGAGAGCCCAGCAGGAACAUCCAGCUCCCCCAGCAUUGCGGGUCACUUUAUGGGAGGCCCCACUCUGGUCCUGCCCCAUGAGGAUGGCAGGGGAACCUGUGGGGUUUGACCCUAGGGAUCUGACUAUGAUGGAAAAGGUGGGAGGGGCUUGAAACAACCAGCGCUGGGACCUUGGCAGCCUCAGUUCCUACCUGCAGCACCCAAGUAGUGGUCCCACCAGCGGCUCUGCCCAUGUGCAGAGCCAAGUUGGUGGCGCGGUCUGAGCAGGGAACUCAGCGGGGCACAGGUCUGCCUCACGUGGGACCUCACAUGAAGAGCCUUCACAGCUCUGUAGCGGGUCUGUCCCCUCGCCCAGGCAGGGCAGCUGAGUCAGAGCCCGCCCACUGCUGAGGGUAGCUCCUGGCCCUGCCGACCAGAGAGCCAGGUGGGAACGCUUCAAAGCUGCGUAGCCCAGCAUCGCUGAGCGAAGAGUCCGGCAGGCAGAGCUGGUCAUCCACAGAACAAAGCCAGCAGCACUGUUCAGCCAGGGAACUUGGGGUGUAGGCUGGCUUGAGUCAAGAUCACAAACAAAGAGCCUUCCCAGGUUGGGAGCCAGUUCUCUUCUCCGCCCAGGCAGAGGGUUAAUUCACAGCCAGACUACUUGAGUGUAGCUCCUGGCUCUGCCCAACCAGAAAGCCUUCCAGAACACCUGGAAAGCUGCUUGCCGUGAACUCUCCUGCUCUGUCCGGGAAGGGGAGCUAAUUCAUACCUCUGCCCACUGCUGAGGUAGCUUUGGGCCCUGCCUGACCACCUGGGAAAUGGCAUAGACCAGCAGCACUUGAGCAGAGAGCCUGGCCAGCAGCUCCCCCAGUCUGCAGAGACAAGCCAGUGACCCCGUCUAAGCAGAGAGUUUGGUGCCCAGGUCUGCCUGCUUAGCUUCCCAAAGAAGAGUCUUCUUAGCUUUGAGGUGUGCUCUGCAUCCCCACCCCCCGCCCCCACCCCCUUAGCAGAGAAGCUAACCUGCAGCUCUGCCCAGUGC